UAAAUGUGGCCUCUCCGACGUUUAAUACAACUGCAACAUGACCUCCCAACUUCUAUACUCAAUACUCUCACCGAUGAAGGGCAAUGUGCCGAAACCUUUUAUGACCACCCUAUCUACCUGCAACUCCACUGAGA